rnacentral:rRNA from 1 species
AUUGAACGCUGGCGGAAUGCUUUACACAUGCAAGUCGAGCGGCAGCGCGGUCUUCGGACUGGCGGCGAGCGGCGAACGGGUGAGUAAUACAUCGGAACAUGCCCAGUCGUGGGGGAUAACACUUCGAAAGAAGUGCUAAUACCGCAUACGUCCUGAGGGAGAAAGCGGGGGAUCGCAAGACCUCGCGCGAUUGGAGUGGCCGAUGGCAGAUUAGCUAGUUGGUGGGGUAAAGGCCUACCAAGGCAACGAUCUGUAGCUGGUCUGAGAGGAUGAUCAGCCACACUGGGACUGAGACACGGCCCAGACUCCUACGGGAGGCAGCAGUGGGGAAUUUUGGACAAUGGGGGCAACCCUGAUCCAGCCAUUCCGCGUGAGUGAAGAAGGCCUUCGGGUUGUAAAGCUCUUUCGGCAGGAACGAAACGGCGAGCUCUAACAUAGCUCGCUAAUGACGGUACCUGAAGAAGAAGCACCGGCUAACUACGUGCCAGCCGCCGCCGUAAGAC